rnacentral:rRNA from 1 species
UACGUAGGAUGCAAGCGUUGCUCGGAAUUAUUGGGUGUAAAGCGCGCGUAGGUGGUCUGAUAAGUCAGGGGUGAAAGCCCUCGGCUCAACCGGGGAAUUGCCUUUGAAACUAUCAGGCUUGAGUAUGGGAGAGGGAAACGGAAUUCCUGGUGUAGCGGUGAAAUGCGUAGAUAUCAGGAGGAACAUCAGCGGCGAAGGCGGUUUCCUGGACCAAUACUGACACUGAGGCGCGAAAGCGUGGGGAGCAAACAGG